UCGAAACAGACGAGGGGGAUUGGUCGCGUGCGGCGGCCGGAUCGGGGCGCCCUGCCGCUGCCCCUGCGCGCGGCCUCGGCGGCAUUGCCGGCGCGUGCGCGUCGUCCAGAAAGAGGUCACCACAGCGGAGCCAGAAGUCGGCGAGCUCCCCGUCCGUCGCGUCCAAGGGCAGCGCCGUCGGCGCAAGGAUGAGCUUCGCGUCGGAGUUCUCCGGCUUCGGCGACUCUGACUCCGAGUCCAGCGGCAGCGACGGUUACUCGGUGAAGGAGGGGAAGCGUUUAUCUGUAUUCCUCGCACGCACGAUCCAAGGCACGGAGCCUGCGAGACGAUCUAAUGGAGAAACGCUAGAAUCGAGUACCCUGCCGCCCAAAUUAAGUGCUCAUUGAGUCAUUGUUGGAAUCGAGAUCUCCCUCACCCAAUUCGAGUUUCUUAGUGCCGCAAUUGAGAUCCACAUCACCUGAAUCGAGAUCCUUGCACAAGAAUUUAGCUUUGGCCUUCGCCCUCGAGCAAGCCAUGGCCCAGAUCGAGGUUCUCGUAGCUCCGGCCUGGGAGAGCCGGAGGGGCACCGCUAGAGGAGAAGCGGAUUAGAGGGCGACCACACCGCCAAGAGCUAGCGCCAGCUGAGGCAUCGACGAUGCGGGCACCUGCGCCAUGUGGUGGCAAGAGGCUCAACGCCAUCGAGGUGGUGCCGGUGGUGGCCCCUGCUCGUCGGGGUAGAGUGGAGACAGAAGGAAGAGGAAGCAGAGAGCUGGGGAACGCUAAGAAGGAAGGUAUCUUGCUUAAUUGCAUCUUUGGUGUUGUAGCACGAACAAUAGGAAUUCAGGCUCUUGAUUGCAAUGUCAUGACAAUUGCCAUUGCCGUGCAUCUGUUGUCUUGCAGAAUUCCAGUGCAGGAUUAUUUUUUUGA